AUGCUUGCGAAAGCACGCUCAGAACAACCGAAGAAGCUCCAUGGCGGCGAGCGUGGCGGCGGCACCGGAAAUGCAGACGACGCGGCCAUACCCAUACGGCUCGCCGGCGGCGCUGCGUCCGUUGGACCCCGCUGUACUCCCUCUGCCGCCGGUGCUCCCAGGCACGUAACCACCUCUGGCUCCAGGUACGUAACUUCCUCCCCCGCCGCUACCCCCUCUCGGGGCACUGCCUCUGCCUCCCCCGCCUGUUCUUCCUCCGCCGCUGCUGCCUCCCCCGCCUGUCCUUCCUCCGCCGCUGCUGCCUCCUCCUCCUCUCGCACCACCGCCGCCACCGCCACCACCGCCACCGGCGCUCCACCCUGCUUGGAACUGCGAGGCCACACAGAGCAGCACCACCAUCAUGGCGCAGAGCAGCCUCGCCUGGCCUCUUCCCAUGGCCAUCUCCCUCUCGCCCAGCAAGCUUCCCGUCGUACGUUGGGCAGAUGA
rnacentral:rRNA from 1 species